UACAGAGGGUGCAAGCGUUAAUCGGAAUUACUGGGCGUAAAGGGCGCGUAGGCGGAUGGCAUAGUCAGAUGUGAAAUUCCCGGGCUUAACCCGGGGACGUGCAUUUGAUACGUGUCGUCUUGAGUUCGGAAGAGGGUCGUGGAAUUCCCAGUGUAGAGGUGAAAUUCGUAGAUAUUGGGAAGAACACCGGUGGCGAAGGCGGCGACCUGGUCCGAUACUGACGCUGAGGCGCGAAAGCGUGGGGAGCAAACAGG
rnacentral:rRNA from 1 species